rnacentral:misc_RNA from 1 species
CCGAGUGAGGGCCCUCUGGGUCCAACCUCCCACCCGUGUUUAUCGUACCUUGUUGCUUCGGCGGGCCCGCCAUUCUGGCCGCUAAGGGGCAUCUGCCCCUACGCCCGCGCCCGCCGAAGACAUCUCGAACUCUGUCUGAAGAUUGAAGUCUGAGUGGAAUUAUAAAUAGUUA